CAGUCGCCGCGGGAAUACGAAGGGUGCAAGCGUUAAUCGGAAUUACUGGGCGUAAAGCGUGCGUAGGCGGUUUGUUAAGUCUGCUGUGAAAUCCCCGGGCUCAACCUGGGAAUGGCAGUGGAUACUGGCAAGCUAGAGUGUGUCAGAGGAUGGUGGAAUUCCCGGUGUAGCGGUGAAAUGCGUAGAAAUCGGGAGGAACAUCAGUGGCGAAGGCGGCCAUCUGGGACAACACUGACGCUGAGGCACGAAAGCGUGGGGAGCAAACAGGAUUAGAUACCCCUGUAGUCCCUGUCUCUUAUAC
rnacentral:rRNA from 1 species